rnacentral:rRNA from 1 species
AUUGAACGCUGGCGGCAGGCCUAACACAUGCAAGUCGAGCGAGCGGCGGACGGGUGAGUAAUGUAUGGGGACUGCCCGAUAGAGGGGUAUAACUACUGGAAACGGUGGCUAAUACCCCAUUCUAUCGGCUAACCCAUAUUGGAUUACGUAGUAGGUGGGGUAAAGGCUCACCUAGGCGACGAUCUCUUGCUGGUCUGAGAGGAUGAUCAGCCGUACUGGUACUGAGACACGGCCCAGACUCCUACGGAGGGAGCAGUGGGAAAUAUUGCACAAUGGGCGCAAGCCUGAUACAGCCAUGCCGCGUGUAUGAGGAAGGCCUUAGGGUUGUAAAGUACUUUCAGCGGGGAGUCGUUACCCACAGAAGAAGCGCCGGCUAACUCCGUGCCAGCAGACGCGGUAAUUC